CCGAAUUAAAGAAUAAAAGUCAAUUAAUGACAAAAGAAUAACAAAGAAACAUGGAAGCGGAGAAAGAAGUUAAAUAAUAAUGGAAUGAAAAAGAAGUAUACAGGGUGAGAUUAAUGGUGUACGUAACCGUUCAAAUCACAAAUGUUGUAUUAUCCAAAAAACGGUGGUUACAAAAGGGAAACUUUCCACAAAUUCACAUAUAAUUAAACACCAAAAACAAAAAUCUAGACACAUCAAAAGAAGAAGAAAAUAACAAAAAACAUUUAAUUAGAUUUAGAAUCAAAACUAAAUUGAAUAAAUAAGUAAAAACUUCAACGUGAAAAAAAAUCAAUUAAAAAGAAAACCUGAAUAUUGAUGGUGGUUGAUUCAUGCAUGGUGUCCUCAUCAUGUUACAAAGUUGUUGUCAACUAAAUUUCGGAAGUAAAAAGAGACAAACAAAGGAGAGGAAGAGAUUUAGAGAGAGGGAGAAAAAUAAGACGGGGUUUAUUGUAACAUCUCGUUUUUCCAACAUAAAAAUUUCAUAAAAAUAAUCAGAGUAUUCACUUUAACGGAAUGUCAUAUUCUUUACUUAAAAUCAUAAACGGAAUAAUUAACUAAUUAUCCAUCAAAAUUCAAUAACAUAAUAUUUAAUACUUCACAGUGAAAUUUAUUCGAACAUCUAAAAAUAAUUUUGGCACGAAGGCCUCAUCAAAGUAUCUCAUAAAAAUCCAAUUAACAACUUAAUCAUGUAAAUUCAUAAGCAAUACGUAAGGAAUAGAAAAGCAUACAAUAAAGUUCUCAUCCCGUUACGUAUCAGAGCACCUAAAGACACACAUAAGAGAUAAUCCACUCACGACAGCAAUCUAACAGUAACUUAAACUCGAUCACCUGCAAGUUACUCAUACGAAGAGCAACAUUUCCAAGCAGAAGGGGUGACAUUUCACAAAACAAUAAUAUUAAGCAUAUAAUUCUAUUUAAAAACCUAAAAUCAUCAUAAUAUUCAUCAUAGACAAUAAUAUAUCAUAUAUCACAUCUUUAAUAGUUCAUAUAAAGAAUCACAGCUUCAACAACUUGGCAACUUAAACAUCUUUGACUCGACAAAUGCGACUCCUUGACUAUGCAACUUAGACCUCUUAUAUGCAUGUGGUACCAAUCCAGGGCAUCAAGCCCAACGUAUUUGAGCGUAAAUAGGCUCCCAGGGCAUCAAGCCCUCAACUUAUUUGAGCGUAAAAAGGCUCCUAGAGCAUCAAGCCCUCAACUUAAUUGAGCAAAGGCUCCAGGGCAUUAAGGCCCCAUCAAUGAAAUGCUAAUGCAUGGAUUCGACCUCUUAACAUCUUAAAUCGACAACCUUUUAUAUAAUCCAAUAAUUUGGAACUUUAUCAUCUUAAUCAACUUAGACCGACUCAUGCAGCUUAGUUAAAUAACAACAACACAACAGUAUACAAAAACAGCAUGACAUAAUAAUAUCAAAUGCAAGUCAACAACGUCUCAAUUAUUCACAUAUAAUUCAAGUAAUGCAUAUACAAUUAUAUCACAAUAUAACAACAUCAAAUAAUAAUCAACAUCUUAAAACAUCAUAUAUACAUAUAACACUUCACCAAUCAUGGACAAUAUCGUAUUCACAACAUAUACAUACAUAUACUAAUUCAUCAAUCAUAAACAACAUCAUACUCAUAAACAUAUACAUUCAUAUACUAGUUCAUCAAUCAUAUUCAAUUAUUCACUGUGACCUACGUGCAAUAAUUUGACUAUAACUCAAGUUCUAUAAAUCCUUUUGAAGUCAAAUCAACGGCAUUAGAAAGCUAACAUUCAUACCUACAACUUUCGUGUUUACACCUAAGACCAAUUCUGUACCAAUCAAUACCAGUUUUCAUUUCACAUUCGGACAAAGUUGUGCUGAAAUUCAUAAAAAUUCACUGUGACCUACGUGCAGUAAUUUGAUCAUAACUCAAGUUCUAUAAAUCGUUUUGACGUCAGACCAACGACAUUAGAAAGCUAACAUUCAUACCUACAACUUUUGUGUUUACACCUAAGACCAAUUCUUUACCAAUCAAUACCAGUUUUCAUUUCAAAUUCGGGGCAGAGAUAAAAAGAAAAAUAAAAAAAAACAACCUAUAUUAUUCAACUUCACUUUCAUUCAAAAUCAUCACAAUCAUCACUCUUAACCCUAAUUCUCAAAUUCUCAAAAACUAAACCUACAACAUGUUAAAUACAAUUUUCAGAAUCAUAGACUCAAGAUUAUUGAAUGUUAGUCCCACCCUUACCUUGGAAUAUAAAAAUCGCAGCUUCCUAGGUCUCUCUCCCUUCUCUUGGCUUUUUCUCCCUUUUCUCCAAAAUUGAUCGUACGUUCUGUUUUUUCUAAACUAGAUUUCUCCUAUUUAUAACAUUUUAUUCUAUUUUAUCUUAUUUCUCUUUCUCCCCAAAACUCUCUCAAAUCUCAUAACAACCCUUAAACUCAAUAUUAUUUUAUUUUCAAAUCUUAUUCUAUUAAAUAAUAUAAUAAGCCACUUAAUAAAUUACAUAAUCAUAUAAAUUUAUUAUAAACUCUUCUUAAUAAAUUAUAGACUCAAUUAAAUAAUUAAAUAAAAUAAAUAAUUCAAAGAGGGCGUUACAGUUAUCAUGUUGUCGCAAACCUCAGCAAUGUGACGCUCCUUCUUAUAUAGUUUGAAUUACGCACCGCUCUUUUCUGCUUCCACAGUGAAAUUUCUGUGACUGCAAUGCAGAUCUCAGCAUUUCCCCAGGAGGUUCCCUCCUUUCCUUUUUUUUGGUAGUUAAUUCUUUAGUUUGUGUUUGAUUGAGAGCAUUAUUUAACCAUUCUUCCUCCUGCACUUCUCCUCCCCUCUUUCUAUUGCACAUUUUUUUCUUUUAUAGAACAAACAAAUACUAUCUAUAUCUAUUCUUCUUUGAUUUGUGUGAUUUGAAAGCUUGAAAGGAAACUAAAUGAAGAAGUGACUGUAUGUGUUAGCCUACAAUCGAAAACUGAAACUUAAGUUAGAGCCAAGUUUGAAACCUUGAUUGUGUUGUUCCGAUAACAUAUUCUGACUCUUCUAUACAAAAGUUCGUCUUUGCAUAUGGAAAAAGAAAGAAACAGGUUAUGCGGUGGGUUUUAUUUUGUUGGGAUACAAAUGUGGUGGUUCUAUUACCAUCAAUGUUGUUCCAGAAAGAAAGAAAAAAACCAUCGAGAAGUAAUAUUGGCACAUUUGAGGGAAAAAAACCGCACAGCUUAAAUAGAAAAGAAAAGAAAAAAAGUAAUUAAAGAAAAUUGUAAAGGGUAGAAUUGGAAUGUAAAAUAGGCUAAAAAAAAAAAAGAAAAGUAUUGCCUUUAUUAAUAGCUACACUUCAUAGUCUAGAAUUGCACUCAAGAUCGUAAAAUCACUUAGGCAUCCCAACAUUUACAAAAUGUAGAUUUCUUUAAAAUCACCGAGGCAUCCCAACAUUUACAAAAUUUAAUGGAACAAAUAAUACCCAUAAACUCUUUUCGGAUCAUCGAGGCAUCAUAAUAAUUUCAAAAUUCAGGCUCAUAUAUCAUAUCUGAGCGACAAUUCUAGUCUAGAAUUGCAAUCAAGAUCGUAAAAUCACCAAGGCAUCCCAACAUUUACAAAAUUUAAUGGAACAAAUAAUACCCAUCAAUUCUUUUCGGGUCAUCGAGACAUCAUAAUAAUUUCAAAAUUCAGGCUCAUAUAUCAUAUCUGAGCGACAAUUCUAGUCUAAAAUUGCAAUCAAGAUCGUAAAAUCACCAAGGCAUCCCAACAUUUACAAAAUUUAAUGGGACAAAUUAUAUCCAUCAAUUCUUUUCGGGUCAUCGAGGCAUCAUAAUAAUUUCAAAACUCAGUCUCAUAUAUCAUAUCUGAGUGACAAUUCUAGUCUAGAAUUGCACUCAAGAUCGUAAAAUCACCGAGGCAUCCAAACAUUUACAAAAUUUAAUGGAACAAAUAAUAUCUGUCAAUUCUUUUCGGGUCAUCGAUCAAGGCAUCGUAAUAAUUUCAAAACUCAGGCUCAUAUAUCAUAUCCGAGUGACAAUUCUAGUCUAGAAUUGCACUCAAGAUUGUAAAAUCACCGAGGCAUCCCAACAUUUACAAAAUUUAAUGGAACGAAUAAAUAUCCGUCAAUUCUUUUCGGGUCAUCGAUCAAAGCAUCGUAAUAAUUUCAAAACUCAGGCUCAUAUACAUUAUUUUCUUCCUUUGAAAUGUAUCUCAAUUUCUUUUAUAUACGUAAACUUUGAGAUGCCUAUACCAUAUUUUGCAUAAACUUAACAAUUCUCAAUCAAAAUUAGGAAUCAGGAAAUAUGAAUAAUGAGAAUACCUCCAAAUUGCAAGAUUUUCAAAUUGUUGCAACAUAUAAGUAUAAAACGUUUUGAAUAUUAUCACUUAUGCCUUUGAAGAACUUUUGAAGAACCAAGAACUUCAUCAACUCCUUCGAUAGAGUCAUUCAAAUAUACCUCGACUCCAAAAGCUAAGAGUAUAAUUUAUCCCUCAAGACUAACAGUAGAUGGCUAGUCACUUAAACUAUAAAGUCCCUCAUCCUAUGGUGACCGACUUGUAGGCUCAAAAAGAACAGUCUUAGAAUUUUAUUGAGUCAUAAAAGUGCAACAGGGACCAUCCCUUACGUAAUGAAUAAAAAUCCACACCAAUAUCACAUUUAAGGCAUUAUCUAGCCUUCACAUUAUAAGUUAAGUGUGACUGAAGUUUCGAUACAUCCCAACACUUACAAAAUUAAGUCUCAUAUUUCAUCUCUCAUACACAAAAUUUCUACAUAUUCAUUCCUUUAGGGUUGUCAAGGCACCCUAAACAUUUCAAAAUUUAGGCUCAUAUAUGAAGGGUUUGUCUACAUUUGUAUAAAGCAGAAGAUUGAAAGUUCUUGUGAAAAUAGUUAGCCUAACAACAUGCACCAAAUAUUAUAAAACCAAAAGGAUUUGUGGAAAUUUCAUUACCUUGACUAACAAACAAAUUGUCUUUCAAAACAUCAGUACCAAAAGGGUCUCCAUACAAAAGCAAAGUUUGCUGAAUCAUUCUGGUACUACCAAUUCCACUAUUAAAAAAUUCAAGAAUUAAAACCUGAAAAGCAAGAGAGGUAUAAAUGUUACCAUUGAAGGUGAAACUGCAAAUUUUUAAAUUGCAUGUUUUAAAGAAGAUGAAAGGACCGAACAAUGUGUGUUUCAUCUUAUUUAAACACAUCAUAACCUCUGAAGAGGAAUGCAGAGAAGUAAGAGAAGUAAUGAGGCAUCCCAUAUAGCACGCAAUGACAAAUCACAGUCUAAAAGUGAACUCGAUGCCAUAAAAACACAACGAAUACUAGUAUUUUCGGAUUGACUUUUCCACAACUGGGUGCACGUCCCAAUGCCAUGUUUUCUGAGAAGCUACAAAAUGAAACUUCAGCACAGAUGUGUGUUUGGUGUGAUUCUACCAUGGAAACAGACAUGCAAUACAAAGCUUUAUAUUAUGAAUACAAAUUCAUAUCAAUAUCGCUCGCAUGUAAGACAUCAUCAAACUUUAAAUUAUGAUUGCAGUGUUCAUGAUGUUCCUUUUAGGGUCAAAUGAGGCAUCCCAUCUCAAAAUUCAUUGAACAAAUAAUAUUCAUAAUUCAUAUUCUUUUCGGGUCAUCGAGGCAUCCUAUAUUCCAUCUCAAUGUGGCAAUUUACAAUUUAGAAUUGCAUUCAGGGUUAUAAAAGCACACAAUGGAUCCAUCCAUUAUAUUACGAAUAAAAAUUCAUAACAAAAUCAAAUUUAAGGCAUCAUACAACUUUUACAUUGUGAGUGAAGUAUUCGUAAUGUUUCCUUUAGGGUCAUCGAGGCAUUCACACACCUGCAACAUUUAUAGAACAUAUAAUAUCCAUUGAUUCAUUUAGGAUCAUCAAGGCAUCUAACAUUUCAUCUCGUAGUGGCAAUCGAUAGUCUAGAAUUGCAUUCAGGGUUAUAAAAGUACGACGAAUCCAUCCCUUAUAUUAUGAAUAAAGAUUGAUAUUAGGGUCAUCGAUUUUUACAUUAUGAGUGAAGUGUUCAAAAUAUUUCCUUUAGGAUCAUUGAGGCAUCCAAACACUUGUAACAUUUAUGAAACAAAUCAUAAUCAUUAAUUCUUUUCGGGUCAUAGAGACAUUAUGAAUGAAUAAAAAUUCAUAACAAUUUCACAUUUAAGGCAUCAUCCAACCUUUAUAUUAUGGGUAAAGUGUUCAUAAUGUUUGCUUCAGGGUCAUUUAGGCAUCUUGUAACACUUCUGAGAUAAAUAAUAUCCAUCAAUUCCUUUCGGGUCAUCGAGGCAUCAUUUCAAAACCCAGGCUCAAAUAUCAUAUGGGUCAUCGAGGCAUGCAAACACUUGCAAUAUUUAUGGGACAAAUAAUAUCGAUCAAUUCCUUUCGGGUCAUUGAGACAUUAUAAUAAUUUCAAAACUCAGGCUCAUAUAUCAUAUUUGAGUGACAAUUCAUAGUCUAGAAUUGCACUCAAGAUCAUAUAUAAUCACUGAGACAUCUCAACAUUUAGAAAAUAGUUUCCUUUAAAAUCACCGAGGCAUCCCAACAUUUACAAAAUUUAAUGGGACAAAUUAUGUCCAUCAAUUCUUUUCGGGACAUCAAGGCAUCAUAAUAAUUUCAAAACUCAGGCUCAUAUAUUUGAGUGACAAUUCAUAGUCUAGAAUUGCACUCAAGAUCGUAAAAUCACUGAGGCAUCCCAACAUUUACAAAAUGUAGAUUUCUUUAAAAUCACCGAGGCAUCCCAACAUUUACAAAAUUUAAUGGGACAAAUAAUAUCCGUUAAUUAGGGUUGGGAAUAGGCCAGGCUGGCAUACAGGGGCCUACGGCCUAGCCUGUUUUGGCCUGGUCUGGCCUGACCUGUUUAGUAGAUAGGCUUAGGCUUAGGCUUUUUAAAAAGCUUGUUUAGUUAAAUAGGUCAGGCUUAGGCUUUCAGAAAAGCCUGUUAAGUCUAAUAGGCCGACCUAUUAAUACUUAUUUAUUAAAAAAUAUUUUUUAUAUUAAAAUAAUUGCAUAAAUUAAAAAUAUAAACAUCUUUUUCUCUAUCUAUUAGUCCCUAAAUAGGUUUUGUUGUUAUAGGCUUUUAAGUAGACUUUAAUCUAGUUAAAAUUUACUUGUAGUUAAAUAGGCUUUUAAGUAGGCUUUAAGGCAUGUUUAGCUUAUUUAGUAGGCCAAAUGAACUAUUUGAUGACCUUAAUAUAAAGUAGGCCUGUAAGUAGGCUUUCAGGCCAGUCCAGGCUUUUAAAUAGGUCAGGCCAGGCCAAGAAAAACGGCCUAUAAUAGGCCACAGGCCAGGCUCAGGCUUGUAAAUUUUUUCGUAGGCCAGGCUCAGGCCUAUCAAAGCCUGGCCUGGCCUAUUCCCACCCCUACCGUCAAUUCUUUUCGGGUCAUCGAUCAAGGCAUCGUAAUAAUUUCAAAACUCAGGCUCAUAUAUCAUAUCUGAGUGACAAUUUUAGUCUAGAAUUGCACUCAAGAUUGUAAAAUCACAGAUGCAUCCCAACAUUUACAAUAUUUAAUGGAAAAAAUAAUAUCCGUCAAUUCUUUUCGGGUCAUCGAUCAAGGCAUCGUAAUAAUUUCAAAACUCAGGCUCAUAUAUCAUAUCUGAGUGACAAUUUUAGUCUAGAAUUGCACUCAAGAUUGUAAAAUCACCGAGGCAUCCCAACAUUUACAAAAUUUAAUGGAACAAAUAAUUUCCGUCAAUUCUUUUCGGGUCAUCGAUCAAGGCAUCAUAAUAAUUUCAAAACUCAGGCUCAUAUAUCAUAUCUGAGUGACAAUUCUAGUCUAGAAUUGCACUCAAGAUCGUAAAAUCACCGACUCAUCCUAACAUUUACAAAAUUUAAUGGAACAAAUAAUAUCUGUCAAUUCUUUUCGGGUCAUCGAUCAAGACAUCGUAAUAAUUUCAAAACUCAGGCUCAUAUAUCAUAUCCGAGUGACAAUUCUAGUCUAGAAUUGCACUCAAGAUUGUAAAAUCACCGAGGCAUCCCAAAAUUUACAAAAUUUAAUGGAACGAAUAAUAUCUGUCAAUUCUUUUCGGGUCAUCGAUCAAGGCAUCGUAAUAAUUUCAAAACUCAGGCUUAUAUAUCAUAUCUGAGUGACAAUUUUAGUCUAGAAUUGCACUCAAGAUUGUAAAAUCACCGAGACAUCCCAACAUUUACAAAAUUUAAUGGAACAAAUAAUUUCCAUCAAUUCUUUUCGGGUAAUCGAUCAAGGCAUCGUAAUAAUUUCAAAACUCAGGCUCAUAUAUCAUAUCUGAGUGACAAUUUUAGUCUAGAAUUGCACUCAAGAUUGUAAAAUCACCGAGGCAUCCCAACAUUUACAAAAUUUAAUGGAACAAAUAAUUUCCGUUAAUUCUUUUCUGGUCAUCGAUCAAUACAUCCUAAUAAUUUCAAAACUCGGGCUCAUAUAUCAUAUCUGAGUGACAAUUCUAGUCUAGAAUUGCACUCAAGAUCGUAAAAUCACCGAGGCAUCCAAACAUUUACAAAAUUUAAUGGAACAAAUAAUAUCUGUCAAUUCUUUUCGGGUCAUCGACCAAGGCAUCCUAAUAAUUUCAAAACUCAGGCUCAUAUAUCAUAUCCGAGUGACAAUUCUGGUCUAGAAUUGCACUCAAGAUUGUAAAAUCACCGACGCAACCCAACAUUUACAAAAUUUAAUGGAACGAAUAAUAUCCGUCAAUUUUUUUCUUCCUUUGAAAUGUAUCUCAAUUUCUUUUAUAUACGUAAACUUUGAGAUGCCUAUUCCACAUUUUGCAUAAACUUAACAACUCUCAAUCAAAAUUAGGAAUCAGGAAAUAUGAAUAAUGAGAAUACCUCCAAAUUGCAAGAUUUUCAAAUUGUUGCAACAUAUAAGUAUAAAACGUUUUGAAUAUUAUCACUUAUGCCUUUGAAGAACUUUUGAAGAACCAAGAACUUCAUCAACUCCUUCGAUAGAGUCAUUCAAAUAUACCUCGACUCCAAAAGCUAAGAGUAUAAUUUAUCCCUCAAGACUAACAGUAGAUGGCUAGUCACUUAAACUAUAAAGUCCCUCAUCCUAUGGUGACCGACUUGUAGGCUCAAAAAGAACAGUCUUAGAAUUUUAUUGAGUCAUAAAAGUGCAACAGGUACCAUCCCUUACGUAAUGAAUAAAAAUCCACACCAAUAUCACAUUUAAGGCAUUAUCUAGCCUUCACAUUAUAAGUGAAGUUUCGAUACAUCCCAACACUUACACAAUUAAGUCUCAUAUUUCAUCUCUCAUACACAAAAUUUCUACAUAUUCAUUCCUUUAUGGUUGUCAAGGCACCCUAAACAUUUCAAAAUUUAGGCUCAUAUAUGAAGGGUUUGUCUACAUUUGUAUAAAGCAGAAGAUUGAAAGUUCUUGUGAAAAUAGUUAGCCUAACAACAUGCACCAAAUAUUAUAAAACCAAAAGGAUUUGUGGAAAUUUCAUUACCUUGACUAACAAACAAAUUGUCUUUCAAAACAUCAGUACCAAAAGGGUCUCCAUACAAAAGCAAAGUUUGCUGAAUCAUUCUGGUACUACCAAUUCCACUAUUAAAAAAUUCAAGAAUUAAAACCUGAAAAGCAAGAGAGGUAUAAAUUUUACCAUUGAAGGUGAAACUGCAAAUUUUUAAAUUGCAUGUUUUAAAGAAGAUGAAAGGACCGAACAAUGUGUGUUUCAUCUUAUUUAAACACAUCAUAACCUCUGAAGAGGAAUGUAGAGAAGUAAUGAGGCAUCCCAUAUAGCACGUAAUGACAAAUCACAGUCUAAAAGUGAACUCGAUGCCAUAAAAACACAACGAAUACUAGUAUUUUUGGAUUGACUUUUCCACAACUGGGUGCACGUCCCAAUGCCAUGUUUUCUGAGAAGCUACAAAAUGAAACUUCAGCACAGAUGUGUGUUUGGUGUGAUUCUACCAUGGAAACAGACAUGCAAUACAAAGCUUUAUAUUAUGAAUACAAAUUCAUAUCAAUAUCGCUCGCAUGUAAGACAUCAUCAAACUUUAAAUUAUGAUUGCAGUGUUCAUGAAGUUCCUUUUAGGGUCAAAUGAGGCAUCCCAUCUCAAAAUUCAUGGAACAAAUAAUAUUCAUGAUUCAUAUUCUUUUCGGGUCAUCGAGGCAUCCUAUAUUCCAUCUCAAUGUGGCAAUUUACAAUUUAGAAUUGCGUUCAGGGUCAUAAAAGCACACAAUGGAUCCAUCCAUUAUAUUACGAAUAAAAAUUCAUAACAAAAUCACAUUUAAGGCAUCAUACAACUUUUACAUUGUGAGUGAAGUAUUCGUAAUGUUUCCUUUAGUGUCAUCGAGGCAUCCACACACCUGCAACAUUUAUGGAACAUUUAAUAUCCAUUGAUUCAUUUAGGAUCAUCAAGGCAUCUAACAUUUCAUCUCGUAGUGGCAAUCGAUAGUCUAGAAUUGCAUUCAGGGUUAUAAAAGUACGACGAAUCCAUCCCUUAUAUUAUGAAUAAAGAUUGAUAUUAGGGUCAUCGAUUUUUACACUAUGAGUGAAGUGUUCAAAAUAUUUCCUUUAGGGUCAUUGAGGCAUCCAAACACUUGUAACAUUUAUGAAACAAAUCAUAUCCAUUAAUUUUUUUCGGGUCAUAGAUGCAUUAUGAAUGAAUAAAAAAAUUCAUAACAAUCUCACAUUUAAGGCAUCAUCCAACCUUUAUAGUAUGGGUAAAGUGUUCAUAAUGUUUGCUUCAGGGUCAUCUAGGCAUCUUGUCACACUUCUGAGAUAAAUAAUAUCCAUCAAUUCCUUUCGGGUCAUCGAGGCAUCAUUUCAAAACCCAGGCUCAAAUAUCAUAUGGGUCAUCGAGGCAUGCAAACACUUGCAAUAUUUAUGGGACAAAUAAUAUCGAUCAAUUCCUUUUGGGUCAUUGAGGCAUUAUAAUAAUUUCAAAACUCAGACUCAUAUAUCAUAUUUGAGUGACAAUUCAUAGUCUAGAAUUGCACUCAAGAUCAUAUAUAAUCACUGAGACAUCUCAACAUUUAGAAAAUAGUUUCCUUUAAAAUCACCGAGGCAUCCCAACAUUUACAAAAUUUAAUGGGACAAAUUAUGUCCAUCAAUUCUUUUCGGGACAUCAAGGCAUCAUAAUAAUUUCAAAACUCAGGCUCAUAUAUUUGAGUGACAAUUCAUAGUCUAGAAUUGCACUCAAGAUCGUAAAAUCACCAAGGCAUCCCAACAUUUACAAAAUUCAAUGGGACAAAUUAUAUCCGUCAAUUAUUUUCGGGUCAUCGAGGCAUCAUAAUAAUCUCAAAACUCAGGCUCAUAUAUCAUAUCUAAGUGACAAUUCUAGUCUAGAAUUGCACUCAAUAUCGUAAAAUCACCGAGGCAUCCAAACAUUUACAAAAUUUAAUGGAACAAAUAAUAUAUGUCAAUUCUUUUCAGGUCAUCGAUCAAGGCAUCGUAAUAAUUUCAAAACUCAGGCUCAUAUAUCAUAUCCGAGUGACAAUUCUAGUCUAGAAUUGCACUCAAGAUUGUAAAAUCACCGAGGCAUCCCAACAUUUACAAAAUUUAAUGGAACAAAUAAUAUCCGUCAAUUCUUUUCGGGUCAUCGAUCAAGGCAUCGUAAUAAUUUCAAAACUCAGGCUCAUAUAAAUUAUUUUCUUCCUUUUAAAUGUAUCUCAAUUUCUUUUAUAUACGUAAACUUUGAGAUGCCUAUACCAUAUUUUGCAUAAACUUAACAACUCUCAAUCAAAAUUAUGAAUCAGGAAAUAUGAAUAAUGAGAAUACCUCCAAAUUGCAAGAUUUUCAAAUUGUUGCAACAUAUAAGUAUAAAACGUUUUGAAUAUUAUCACUUAUGCCUUUGAAGAACUUUUGAAGAACCAAGAACUUCAUCAACUCCUUCGAUAGAGUCAUUCAAAUAUACCUCGACUCCAAAAGCUAAGAGUAUAAUUUAUUCCUCAAGACUAACACUAGAUGGCUAGUCACUUAAACUAUAAAGUCCCUCAUCCUAUGCUGACCGACUUGUAGGCUCAAAAAGCACAGUCUUAAAAUUUUAUUGAGUCAUAAAAGUGCAACAGGUACCAUCCCUUAUGUAAUGAAUAAAAAUCCACACCAAUAUCACAUUUAAGGCAUUAUCUAGCCUUCACAUUAUAAGUUAAGUGUGACUGAAGUUUCGAUAUAUCCCAACACUUACAAAAUUAAGUCUCAUAUUUCAUCUCUCAUACACAAAAUUUCUACAUAUUCAUUCCUUUAGGGUUGUCAAGGCACCCUAAACAUUUCAAAAUUUAGGCUCAUAUAUGAAGGGUUUGUCUACAUUUGUAUAAAGCAGAAGAUUGAAAGUUCUUGUGAAAAUAGUUAGCCUAACAACAUGCACCAAAUAUUAUAAAACCAAAAGGAUUUGUGGAAAUUUCAUUACCUUGACUAACAAACAAAUUGUCUUUCAAAACAUCAGUACCAAAAGGGUCUCCAUACAAAAACAAAGUUUGCUGAAUCAUUCUGGUACUACCAAUUCCACUAUUAAAAAAUUCAAGAAUUAAAACCUGAAAAGCAAGAGAGGUAUAAAUGUUACCAUUGAAGGUGAGACUGCAAAUUUUUUAAAUUGCAUGUUUUAAAGAAGAUGAAAGGACGGAACAAUGUGUUUCAUCUUAUUUAAACACAUCAUAACCUCUGAAGAGGAAUGCAGAGAAGUAAGAGAAGUAAUGAGGCAUCCCAUAUAGCACGCAAUGACAAAUCGCAGUCUAAAAGUGAACUCGAUGCCAUAAAAACACAACAAAUACUAGUAUGUUUGGAUUGACUUUUCCACAACUGGGUGCACGUCCCAAUGCCACGUUUUCUGAGAAGCUACAAAAUGAAACUUCAGCACAGAUGUGUGUUUGGUGUGAUUCUACCAUGAAAACAGACAUGCAAUACAAAGCUUUAUAUUAUGAAUACAAAUUCAUAUCAAUAUCGCUCGCAUGUAAGACAUCGUCAAACUUUAAAUUAUGAUUGCAGUGUUCAUGAUGUUCCUUUUAGGGUCAAAUGAGGCAUCCCAUCUCAAAAUUCAUGGAACAAAUAAUAUUCAUGAUUCAUAUUCUUUUCGAGUCAUCGAGGCAUCCUAUAUUCCAUCUCAAUGUGGAAAUUUACAAUUUAGAAUUGCAUUCAGGCUCGUAUAUCAUAUCUGAGCGACAAUUCUAGUCUAGAAUUGCACUCAAGAUCGUAAAAUCAACAGGGCAUCCCAACAUUUACAAAAUUCAAUGGAACAAAUUAUAUCCGUCAAUUCUUUUCGGGUCAUCGAGGCAUUAUAAUAAUUUCAAAACUCAGGCUCAUAUAUCAUAUCUGAGUGACAAUUAUAGUCUAGAAUUGCACUCAAGAUCGUAAAAUCACCGAGGCAUCCAAACAUUUACAAAAUUUAAUGGAAUAAAUAAUAUCCGUCAAUUCUUUUCGGGUCAUCGAUCAAAGCAUCGUAAUAAUUUCAAAACUCAGGCUCAUAUAUCAUAUCUGAGUGACAAUUUUAGUCAAGAAUUGCACUCAAGAUUGUAAAAUCACCGAGGCAUCCCAACAUUUACAAAAUGUAAUGGAACAAAUAAUAUCCGUCAAUUCUUUUUGGGUCAUCGAUCAAGGCAUCAUAAUAAUUUCAAAACUCAGGCUCGUAUAUCAUAUCCAAGUGACAAUUCUAGUCUAGAAUUGCACUCAAGAUUGUAAAAUCACCGAGGCAUCCCAACAUUUACAAAAUUUAAUGGAACAAAUAAUAUCAUUCUUUUCGGGUCAUGGAUCAAGGCAUCAUAAUAAUUUCAAAACUUAAGCUCAUAUAUCAUAUCUGAGAGACAAUUCUAGUCUAGAUUUGCACUCAAGAUUGUAAAAUCACCGAGGCAUCCCAACAUUUACAAAAUUUAAUGGAACAAAUAAUAUCCGUCAAUUAUUUUUGGGUCAUCGAUCAAGGCAUCAACAAUUGUAGUCUAGAAUUGCACUUAAGAUUGUAAAAUCACCGAGGCAUCCCAACAUUUACAAAUUUAAUGGAACAAAUAAUAUCCGUCAAUUCUUUUCGGGUCAUCGAUCAAGACAUUAUAAUAAUUUCAAAACUCAGACUCAGAUAUAAUAUAUGAGUGACAAUUCUAGUCUAGAAUUGCACUCAAGAUUGUAAAAUCACCUAGGCAUCAUUUACAAAAUUUAAGGAGCAAAAAGUAAUAUGCAUCGUUUCCAUCCAUUACCUAAGAUUGUAUCAUCCUUUUCAAAUUACCAAAAUUGAUUUCAACUCAAAGAGGCGAUCACAGUAAAGAAUUAAAUUCAUGUCAUAAAAGAUAUCAUCCAACUCUACAUUAUGAAUUUUUUUAAGUCAAGGAAACCUAACGGUUUCAACAUUUAGGCUCAAAUAUUGUGAAAAAGAAUGAUCUUGCAGAGUUUCACACGUUUAUGGGGUUUGUUAAAUUGUACAGGGCUGUUGUUGUUAAAGCAGAAAAUUGAAGGUUGUUGAAUAAGGAAGAAUAUAGGGUUUAUGAAUAUUCAAGAAUCAAAAUCUAAAAAUCAAGAUAAAGUUAGAAAUGUACCGUUGAAAAUGAAAGGGGGACAGAACAGAGCGUGUUUCGUCGCUUUCUUGAAGAAAAAAGAAUUCGGCAACGAUUCCUACGAAACCUUUGAAUCGGAACGGUAUUGAUUUUCAUGUUUCGAUUCUUUGAAUUAUUUUAGAUUUAACGCAGUGUUUUCCAUUUAUCGGCUUUUCUACUGGGCUUUUGAUUUUAAUGGCAUGUUGAGC
rnacentral:lncRNA from 1 species